GCGAGCAGCGGAGCGCGCGGACCCCGGACCUCUCGAUGUUUUUUUUUUUUCUUUGUCACAGCGCUGGGGAGGGAAGCAAGCUCCGUGGCGUGCGCGAGUUCCCGCCAAAUCGUAGCUCUUUCGAGCAAGGACGUGCUGAAACACUAGACAGAGACGGGCAAGCACUCGGAAGCAUUUCGUUUGCCUUGAUUCUGGAGGCGGCCGUCUCCUUCUGCCGAGGAUCUGAAGCGAACUCCUGACAGAUCAGAAGUGUUCAGUCGAACGGCGGUUAUAUUUGUCCGUGGACCCAAGACUUCGUUGACGGGCAAAUAUGGAACACUGCAACAAGGACUGUAGUGUGGAUAGCGUGCUUCGCUGGUCUGGCCAACUGAAAAAAACUCUGGUAACAUGCAUGCUUGGUUACAAAAGUCUCACGCAAUCGCUUUUCACAUUGAAUUUGGUCGCAGGUGUGCUGUAAAUGCCGACUGCACUCUAUGUGACUGGCCCGCGGCC
rnacentral:lncRNA from 1 species